GACGAACGCUGGCGGCGUGCUUAACACAUGCCAGUCGAACGGAAAGGCCCUGCUUGCAGGGUACUCGAGUGGCGAACUGGUGAGUAACACGUGGGUGAUCUGCCCUGCACUUCGGGAUAAGCCUGGGAAACUGGGUCUAAUACCGGAUAGGAGCCAUUUUUAGUGUGAUGGUUGGAAAGUUUUUUCGGUGUAGGAUGAGCUCGCGGCCUAUCAGCUUGUUGGUGGGGUAAUGGCCUACCAAGGCGGCGACGGGUAGCCGGCCUGAGAGGGUGGACGGCCACAUUGGGACUGAGAUACGGCCCAGACUCCUACGGGAGGCAGCAGGGGGGAAGAUUGCACAAUGGGCGCAAGCCUGAUGCAGCGACGCCGCGUGGGGGAUGACGGCCUUCGGGUUGUAAACUCCUUUCGCUAGGGACGAAGCUUUUUGUGACGGUACCUAGAUAAGAAGCACCGGCUAACUACGUG
rnacentral:rRNA from 1 species